rnacentral:rRNA from 1 species
UCAAGCUACUAAGGGCAUACGGCGGAUGCCUAGGCGCCAUCAGCCGAUGAAGGACGCGGUAAGCUGCGAAAAGCUACGGGGAACUGCAAGCAAGUAUUGAUCCGUAGAUGUCCGAAUGGGGAAACCCACCUGCCGUCAUGGGCAGGUAUCCGAAAGGAAGGGAACCCGGGGAACUGAAACAUCUAAGUACCCGGAGGAAGAGAAAUCAAACGAGAUGCCCACAGUAGCGGCGAGCGAAGAGGGCAGAGGGCAAACCGGUGAGCUACGGCUCGCCGGGGUUGAGGACUGCAUUUAGUCUCAAUGGUCUAUCCGAACUACCUGGAAAGGUAGGCAAUACAGUGUAAAAGCCACGUAGGUUAAAGACCGGAGAGAUGAGCAGUAUCCAGAGUACCACGAGGCACGAGGAAUCUUGUGGGAAGCCGGGGGGACCACCCUCCAACCCUAAACACUGAAUGGCGACCGAUAGCGCAUAGUACCGUGAGGGAAAGGUGAAAAGAACCCCGGGAGGGGAGUGAAAGAGAACCUGAAACCCUGUGUUUACAAGCUGUGGAACAUCUUUAUAUGAUGAACCGCGUACUUUUUGUAGAACGGUCCGGCGAGUUACGCUGGCUGGCGAGGUUAAGCACUGAAGGUGCGGAGCCGAAGGGAAACCAAGUCUGAACAGGGCGAAAUAGUCAGUCGGAGUAGACCCGAAACCGGGUGAUCUAUCCAUGUCCAGGUUGAAGUUGCCGUAAAAGGCAAUGGAGGACCGAACCCACAUCCGUUGAAAAGGGUGGGGAUGAGGUGUGGAUAGGGGAGAAAUUCCAAUCGAACCCGGAGAUAGCUGGUUCUCCUCGAAAUAGCUUUAGGGCUAGCCUCGAUACAGAUUUGCGGAGGUAGAGCACUGAAUUUCCUAGGGGGCGUCAAAGCCUACCGAAGAAUAUCAAACUCCGAAUGCCAUACAGAUGAUGUACGGGAGUCAGACGGCACGAGAUAAGUUGGGUCGUCAAAAGGGAAAGAGCCCAGACCACCAGCUAAGGUCCCAAAGUGCGUGUUAAGUGGAAAAGGAUGUGGGAUUUCGAAGACAACCAGGAUGUUGGCUCAGAAGCAGCCAUCCAUUCAAAGAGUGCGUAAUAGCUCACUGGUCGAGAGGUCCUGCGCCGAAAAUGUCCGGGGCUGAAACGCGCCACCGAAACUAAGGAACCGAAAGGUUGGUAGAGGAGCAUUGCAUGCGGGAAGAAGCAGUACCGUAAGGAGCUGUGGACUGCAUGGAAGAGAGAAUGCCGGAAUGAGUAGCGAGAAUAAGGUGAGAAUCCUUAUGGCCGAAUAUCCAAGGUUUCCAGAGUAAAGCUGAUCUGCUCUGGGUAAGUCGGGGCCUAAGGCGAGGACGAGAGUCGUAGCCGAUGGACAACAGGUGGAGAUUCCUGUACUGCGGUAUGACAGAACUGUGGGGACACGUAAGGAAAGCGGAAGCCGGGAAUGGAAAGCCCGGUGCAAGCGGGGUACCAGUCACUUUGGCAAAUCCGGGUGGCAAUGGGAAGCCGUGAUGCGGAGCGAAAUAAAGUAGCGAAGUCCGUGAGCCAUGCGUCAAGAAAAGCCGCUAUCGUUUAUACCGUACCCGUACCGUAAACCGACACAGGUGGAUGAGGAGAGAAUCCUAAGGCCGGCGGGAGAAGCAUUGUUAAGGAACUCGGCAAAAUGACCCCGUAACUUCGGGAGAAGGGGUGCCUGCUAACGCAGGCCGCAGAGAAUAGGCUCAAGCAACUGUUUAGCAAAAACACAGGUCUAUGCAAAACCGAAAGGUGAGGUAUAUGGGCUGACGCCUGCCCGGUGCUGGAAGGUUAAGAGGAGAGGUUAGAGCAAUCGAAGCUUUGAAUUUAAGCCCCAGUAAACGGCGGCCGUAACUAUAACGGUCCUAAGGUAGCGAAAUUCCUUGUCGGGUAAGUUCCGACCCGCACGAAAGGCG